AUGAGGGAGAUUGCGCUCACGCAGACCCGGCAGUGCGGGAAGAAGAUCGGUGCCAAGUUCUGGGGGGUGAUCUCUGAUGAACAUCCCAUUGACUCCGCUGGCACCUACCACGGGGAGAGCAACCUGCAGCUGUAGCGCAUCAACGUGUACUACAACGAGGCCAGCGGUGGCUGGUACGUGCCCUGCGCUGUGCUCGUGGACCUGGAGCCGGUCACCAUGGACUCUCUGCGCUCGGGGCCCUUCGGGCUCAUCUUCAGGCCGACAACCUCAUCUUUGGUCAGUGUGGGGCUUGAAACAAGGCCAAGGGGCACUAUACAGAAGGUGCGGAGCUGAUGGAGUCAGCGAUGGACAUUGUCUGAAAGCAGUGUGAGAGCUGUGAAUGCCUGCAGGGUUUCCAGCUGACCCACUCCCUGGGUAGGGGAACUGCAUCUGGGAUGGGUACCCUUCUCGUUAGUAAGAUCUGGGAGGAGUAUUCAGACAGGAUCAUAAACACAUUCAGCAUCCUGUCCUCGCCCAAGGUGUCAGACACCAUGGUGGAACUCUACAAUGCCACCCUGUCAGUCCACCAUAGAAACUCAUAGAAAAUGCAGAUAAGACCUUUUGCAUAGAUAAUGAAGCUCUAUAUGACAUCUAUUCCAGAACCCUAAAACUGCCCACACCUACCUAUGGUGACAUGAACCACCUGUUAUCUGCUACCAUGAGUGGGGUCACCAUGUGCCUGGGCUUCCCAGGUCAGCUGAAUGCUGACCUACAGAAGCUGUCUGUGAACAUGGUCCCAUUUCCCAGGCUGCAUUUCUUCAUGCCUGGCUUUGCCCCACUGACCAGCCGGGGCAGCCAGCAUUACCAGGCCCUGACUGUGGCUGAGCUUACUCAGCAGAUGUUUUAUGCUAAGAAUAUGAUGGCUGCCCCUGUCAUGGCUGCUACCUAAUGGUGGCUGCCAUUUUCAGGGGUUGCAUGCCCAUGAGGGAGGUGGAUGGACAAAUGUUCAACAUUCAAAAUAAAACAGCAGCUACUUUGCUGACUGGCUCCCCCACAACGUAAAAACAGCCAUCUGUCACAUCCCACCCCAGGGGCUAAAAAUGUUGGCCACCUUCAUGGGCAACAGCAUUGUUAUCCAGGAAAUCUUCAAGCAUGUCUCAGAAGAGAUUACAGCAAUGUUCAAGUGCAAGGUCUUCCUCCACUGGUACACGGGCGAGGGCUUGGAUGAGAUGGAGUUCACUGAGGCUGAGAGCAACAUGAAUGACCUGGUGUCUGAAAAUUAGCAGUACCAGGAUGCCAAGGCUGAGGAGGAGGAGUUUGA
rnacentral:lncRNA from 1 species